UUGGAGCACGGAAUCUCAUCAAUUUCAAUACUUUGAAAGUUGUAUUCGCAUUUGGAAGUCUUGGUUUUGAAUUAGUAUAUUUUAAUUGUCAGGAGUUGCCAAAUUUACCAUAAAUAUAAGUGUAGUCAAAAGCUUUAAAGUGUAGCGACAAAUAGGAAAGCACUUUUACAUAUGCUAUGCAAGAUGCAUUUAAUGAAGCAGGGCUUUUUGCAUUUAAAGUGCAAAGCGCAAAGAGACCAACUUUAAGGCCAACGUUGGAAGA
rnacentral:misc_RNA from 1 species